UACGAACGCUGGCGGCGUGCCUAAUACAUGCAAGUCGAGCGGACAGAAGGGAGCUUGCUCCCGGAAGUUAGCGGCGGACGGGUGAGUAACACGUGGGCAACCUACCCUGUAGAUCGGGAUAACAUCGAGAAAUCGGUGCUAAUACCGGAUAAUCAUUUGAAGUGCAUGCUUCGAAUGUAAAAGAUGGCUCCGGCUAUCACUACGGGAUGGGCCCGCGGCGCAUUAGCUAGUUGGUAAGGUAAUGGCUUACCAAGGCAACGAUGCGUAGCCGACCUGAGAGGGUGAUCGGCCACACUGGGACUGAGACACGGCCCAGACUCCUACGGGAGGCAGCAGUAGGGGAUCUUCCGCAAUGGACGAAAGUCUGACGGAGCAACGCCGCGUGAGUGAUGAAGGUUUUCGGAUCGUAAAGCUCUGUUGUUAGGGAAGAACAAGUGCCGUUUGAAUAAGGCGGCACCUUGACGGUACCUAACCAGAAAGCCACGGCUAACUACGUGCCAGCAGCCGCAGUAACAC
rnacentral:rRNA from 1 species